GCUUGUCUCAAAGAUUAAGCCAUGCAUGUGAUCAGUGCAGUCCUUGUACGACGAAACUGCGAAUGGCUCAUUAAAACAGUUAUCGUUCAUUUGGUAAUCAUCUACUACAAGGAUAACUGUAGUAAUUCUAGAGCUAAUACAUGCGUCAGAACCCAACUUUACGGAAGGGUCGUGUUUAUUAGAUACAAAACCAACAUCUCGUUGGUGAUUCAUAAUAACCAAGCGAAUCGUCGGUUUACCGACGAUAGAUCGUUCAAGUUUCUGACCUAUCAGCUUUGGUCGGUAGGGUAUUGGCCUACCGAGGCAAUGACGGGUAACGGAGAAUUAGGGUUCGAUUCCGGAGAGGGAGCCUGAGAAACGGCUACCACAUCUAAGGAAGGCAGCAGG
rnacentral:rRNA from 1 species